AACAUUUUUCAGGUGGGAGAAGAAGCUGACUUUCUUGCUCGUUCUUCAGUACAAGAACUGGAGUUUUGUUGGUAAGGUCCGGUUUGCACUUCUAAUGGAUCCAACCCGCAUUUUUCACGCGGUGAAGUCCGCAUAGUGCAGGACCUUUCCAACCUGUCUCUCUCUCUCUCUCUCACUCUUCCCCCCUCUUUCUCUCUCUCCCCUGUUCUCUGCGUAGGUGAAGGGACGUCUCCUUCCUGCUAAUUGAAUUGGCGGCAUCUCCCACGAAGAGAUUCAGUAACAUGGUUCUACGUCCUGGUUGAACUCCAAUGUUCCUCGGAGGUGGACCGAUGUCAGCAAUCAAAAAGGAUAAAUAGCAAAUGAAAUAGAAGAGUGACGAACCUUUUCCCUUUAAUAUCGACAUGUCAAAAUGCAGGACUCACAGACAAAAAGUUUUUAGCGAGCAACGGAGACAUCCUAUAGAAAUAAUUCCUAUCAUGCCUCUGUAGUCGUGUGGGGUUUCAGAUCAAGGAUGAAGCGAUAUGUCUACAUCAAUGACAACAAACUCUCUCCUGAUACUUUUUGUGACAACUGUGUCUCAAACCGCAAGUAUACUAUAUUUAAUUUUCUCCCAAAGAAUCUGUGGGAGCAAUUCGGGUACUCUCAGUAUUUUCAUUGGCAACUCCAGAUUCCUCAUGCACAUGCAUACACAUCCAUGAUUGAUUCCAGUUUAGUUUGGAAAUUUGACCAGUUGGAUUUGAUAGUCUCUGCUUAUCUGCUUCUUCUCAGUUAGAUAAAGGAGCAGCUUAUUCCAAAGUCAUGGAACAGAUGCAUAAACAGACAUGCACAUGUAUGCAUGGCACACUCAUUUACAUGCAUGUGGACAUGAAUAUGAGUGAACAAAUACAUACAUCUCUCUCUCUCUCUUUGUAUAUACACACACACACACACACACAUAU